CUGAGGUCGAGAAGCUCACAGUGUGCACAUCAAAUGUGAUGAUUUGAAGGCCUUUUAGGUCAAUAGAGUCCGACUAUCCAUUAUAGAUUACGAUGAUUAAAAGGAUUCUUGAUUCAUACCUCAAACUGCCUAUUACCGAUUUGUGAUGAUCAAUAAUACCCCAGAGACCUUUUGCUCUGGGAUCAAGAACUUGAGACACUACCAAAUAUGACAUAAAGGUCUCUAGGCUUCAUUUCAUUCAAAAAUGGAAUAAAGAAAACAUCCAGAAUGUAUAUUUUGUGUGUCAACAUGAUGUCGUGUUUUGCUUCCAUAUCCAUAUCAAGACUGGUAUUCAAGACUGGUAUUGAUUGGGAACUUACUCACCAACAUAACUCGUCAGAUUUUGCAUGGACUGCAUGGAAUCUUAAUUAAAAUGUUAUUUCUCCUUUAAGAACCUGACUGUAUUCUAAUUACUUGAAUCUGAAAUCUUAAACCAGUACUUGUUUCAUUGGGGAAAUAACAUGGGAAAAUGUGUAUAUUUGGCUAUGUUUAUGAGUUAUGUAUGGAAACGUAAGAUGCCGCGUAUGAAUGACGAAAACGAUUGCUUUCACUGACUUCAUUAAUUGAUUAAUCGAUUGAUCAUGUUAUGAUAUGCAGCAUUGCAGCAUCCAAAAUUACCUACAUGGAUGCAUUAAUGGACAGGCAUCAUUUGAUAAGCUACUGAAACGGGAUUUAUAUUAACUCGCAAGAGACUCGCAUAAUUAUUAUUU